rnacentral:rRNA from 1 species
UCAGUGAGUGGCGAACGGGUGAGUAACACGUGGACAACCUGCCUCAAGGCUGGGGAUAACAUUUGGAAACAGAUGCUAAUACCGAAUAAAACUUAGUGUCGCAUGACACAAAGUUAAAAGGCGCUUCGGCGUCACCUAGAGAUGGAUCCGCGGUGCAUUAGUUAGUUGGUGGGGUAAAGGCCUACCAAGACAAUGAUGCAUAGCCGAGUUGAGAGACUGAUCGGCCACAUUGGGACUGAGACACGGCCCAAACUCCUACGGGAGGCUGCAGUAGGGAAUCUUCCACAAUGGGCGAAAGCCUGAUGGAGCAACGCCGCGUGUGUGAUGAAGGCUUUCGGGUCGUAAAGCACUGUUGUAUGGGAAGAACAGCUAGAAUAGGAAAUGAUUUUAGUUUGACGGUACCAUACCAGAAAGGGACGGCUAAAUACGUGCCAGCAGCCGCGGUAAUACGUAUGUCCCGAGCGUUAUCCGGAUUUAUUGGGCGUAAAGCGAGCGCAGACGGUUUAUUAAGUCUGAUGUGAAAGCCCGGAGCUCAACUCCGGAAUGGCAUUGGAAACUGGUUAACUUGAGUGCAGUAGAGGUAAGUGGAACUCCAUGUGUAGCGGUG